rnacentral:rRNA from 1 species
GAGGUUACUGCUAUCGAGGUUCGACUAAGCCAUGCGAGUCGAAUGUAGCAAUACAUGGCGUACUGCUCAGUAACACGUGGAUAACCUACCCUUGAGAUGGGAAUAAACCCGGGAAACUGGGUAUAAUACCCAAUAGAUCUCGACUGCUGGAAUGCAUCGAGCUCCAAAGCUCCGGCGCUCAAGGAUGGAUCUGCGGCCUAUCAGGUAGUAGUGGGUGUAGCGUACCUACUAGCCUACGACGGGUACGGGUUGUGAGAGCAAGAGCCCGGAGAUGGAUUCUGUGACACGAAUCCAGGCCCUACGGGGUGCAGCAGGCGCGAAAACUUUACAAUGCUGGAAACAGCGAUAAGGGGACCUCGAGUGCCAGGUUACAAAUCUGGCUGUCGUGAUGCCUAAAAAGCAUUGCAUAGCAAGGGCCGGGCAAGACCGGUGCCAGCCGCCGCGGUAACACCGGCGGCUCGAGUGGUAACCGUUAUUAUUGGGUCUAAAGGGUCUGUAGCCGGCCGGAUAAGUCUCUUGGGAAAUCUGGCAGCUUAACUGUCAGGCUUUCAGGAGAUACUGUCUGGCUCGAGGCCGGGAGAGGUGAGAGGUACUUCAGGGGUAGGGGUGAAAUCUUGUAAUCCUUGAAGGACCACCAGUGGCGAAGGCGUCUCACCAGAACGGACCUGACGGCAAGGGACGAAAGCUAGGGGCACGAACCGGAUUAGAUACCCGGGUAGUCCUAGCCGUAAACGAUACUCGCUAGGUGUCGGCAACGGUGCGACCGUUGUCGGUGCCGUAGGGAAGCCGUGAAGCGAGCCACCUGGGAAGUACGGCCGCAAGGCUGAAACUUAAAGGAAUUGGCGGGGGAGCACCACAACGGGUGGAGCUUGCGGUUUAAUUGGAGUCAACGCCGGAA